rnacentral:rRNA from 1 species
UACGUAGGGGGCUAGCGUUGUCCGGAAUCAUUGGGCGUAAAGCGCGCGUAGGCGGUCAGGAAAGUCCGGUGUGAAAGUCAUAGGCUCAACCUAUGGAUGCCGCUGGAAACUGCCUGACUUGAGUCCGGAAGGGGCGAGUGGAAUUCCUGGUGUAGCGGUGAAAUGCGCAGAUAUCAGGAGGAACACCAAUGGCGAAGGCAGCUCGCUGGAACGGUACUGACGCUGAGGCGCGAAAGCUAGGGGAGCGAACAGG